CGAACGCUGGCGGCGUGCUUAACACAUGCAAGUCGAACGCGAAAGGGACUUCGGUCCUGAGUAAAGUGGCGCACGGGUGAGUAACGCGUAGAUAACCUGUCUUCAUGUCUGGAAUAAUACGCCGGAAGGGGUACUAAUACCGGAUAUUCUUGCUUUUCAUAAGUUAUGCAAGCAAAGGUGGCCUCUGCAUAUGCUACUGCAUGAAGAGGGGUCUGCGUACCAUUAGCUAGUAGGUGGGGUAAUGGCCUACCUAGGCGACGAUGGUUAGCGGGUCUGAGAGGAUGAUCCGCCACACUGGCACUGGAACACGGGCCAGACUCCUACGGGAGGCAGCAGUGAGGAAUAUUGCGCAAUGGGGGAAACCCUGACGCAGCGACGCCGCGUGAGUGAAGGAAGGCCUUCGGGUCGUAAAGCUCUGUCAAGAGGAAAGAAGUGUACAAUGGCUAAUACCUGUUGUAUUUGACGGUACCUCUAAAGGAAGCACCGGCUAACUCCGUGCCAGCCGCAGC
rnacentral:rRNA from 1 species